GCGCCGGUGGUGUAAGGCGAACAUCGCUGCCCGGAAAGCAGAAGAUGCGGGUUCGAGUCCUGCCUGGCCCA
rnacentral:tRNA from 1 species